rnacentral:sRNA from 1 species
UCUUCAUGUCCUUGUUCACCACGUUAUACUCCCUCCAUAAAAAAAAAAAAAAGACAAACCCUGGCUUCCGUGUCCAACGUUUGACCAUCCGUCUUAUUUAAAAAAAUUAUAAAAAAAAUAUAAAAAAUAAGUCACGUAUAAAGUAUUAAUCAUGUUUUAUCAUCUAACAACAAUAAAAAUACUAAUUAUAAAAAAAAUUCAUAUAAGAUGGACAGUCAAACGUUGGCACGGAAACCUAGGGUUUGUCUUUUUUUUGGGACAGAGGGAGCAGGUGACAACAGUCUGAGCUGGAACUGUGAAUUCAGAAGAGUGUUUCAGUCAAGCUGACCAUGACUAGAUAAAGAGAAGAUGGACAUUUGGCAGGACGGAACAAAGAGAAACAGUAAAGAAAAAUGAAAGUGGCAAUUGCCUUAGCUAGUGGGUUACUGUGACAGUGGGAGAUUUGUACAGUUUGCGUAAUAAUCUUUACAAGGAAGGGUUGACAUUGAAGUUGUAUAUCCUUGUAUCUUCCUUUUCUGGCUCUUUUGUUCCGAGGGAAAUAUCCUUGUGACAUUCAAUCAACAGGACUACGUGUAACUUUUGAAUUUUUUUCCUCUUUGUUCGCUAGCUACAGUGAUGGAUUAGUACGAAAUGUUCGCUUAUAGUACGAACUAAUGGUGAAGUGAAACCAGAUGUUUACAUUAUUAUAAGUGGACGUCAGUUGACCAGCCCGGCCCCGGCGUGCACCGACGCGCGCCCAGCCGGCUCGUCAGCUGGGACGUGCCGACGUUGACCUCCGGCGAAGCGUCCCCCCCUCGCUCCGGCGACAUAUGGCCAUACUCUCCGGAAGCGCGGAGCUAGGAAAUUUUUUAAGCCCAAACAUACACAAAUAUAUCUAGUAGUAUUUGCUACAAUAUUUCUAACUUUAAUCCUUUCAAAAUAAUAAAAAUUCAAUGGUGUAUUUGCUGGUGAGCCCGGGCGGCUGCCCGUGCAAGCCGGACGGUGGCUCCGCCCCUGCUCUCCGGUACUGGAGAUGGAGGUGCAUAGUGAGAGCUGAAGAACUUGUCGAUGAGGUGAAGAAGACGAUGACCCACCUCGUCAUCGUCUCCCACGGCUUAGAUCCAUAUUUGCCCGUGGCAAUGUUAUAGCUUAGAUCCAUAUCAUCCUAAUUCUAUUUGGUAGAGCUACAACCUAAAGCUGAAGUCUAACGAAAACGAUUUCAGCUUAAAAAACAAAAGUGGAGCGGACUAAUAUACUCUCUCAAAAUGAAGUAAAAAAGAUAGAAUCAGGUUUAAACUAUGUUUGAUUGUGAAGAUUGGAACCUUCCUUUCCGGCAAUAAAAAGGAACAACUCAUCAACACAUAAUCAAUUACGUGUUAACUUAAACAAUGGAUUAAUAUGAUUUUUAAAGUAAUGGCACCGAACAUGUCUCAGGGCUCAAGUGAUUAACCGAAGUGUUUUUCUAUAUAUUUAUUCUGCGAAAACGUUUAACAGUUUAAAAAAUAUGUAUGCGAAAAAUGAGAGAAGUGAGAAUAAAAAAGGAAAAGGCUAUACAUACUAACUUUUUUCUUACUAAAUUCUUACUAACGCUGAUGUGUCAUGCUAUGAGUGCAUCUAGAUUUUUUUAUAACUUUCAUCUACUUAAAUCAAAUAGUUGAGAUGAUUGUUAGUAAAAAAUUAGUAAGAAAAAUUUAGUACGUGUAGCAGUGAUGAAAAAUGGCACCACCAAACUCAGCUAUAAGAUGCUUCAUAACUUCACUCCAAGUCUCCAACGAUGACUUGAGGGACCUUUGGUGUACUUUUUCUGCCAAUAGAGGAUGGAGGAUGAAGCAGGCCGAAAAAGAGUAGUUCGAUUGCUUAUUGGGCUGAUUAAGGCUUCUUUUUUAUUUUUGUGAAUACAAAUACGAAAUACAGAGUAUAUAUAUAUAGUUUUUUUUAAAAAAAAUUUGGGUAUACAUCUGAAUACUCUUGAAUUAUAGCUGGGCCCGCCCUGACUCCAUCUAAAAAAACCAACUCCUGAUUAUCCAGUUUUAAGGUUAGAAGUUUGUUUUUUUUAACAGUGGAGUAAGUAGCUAGCUCCUUGAUUUCUUACAUGUUUUAUAAAAGCUAAUGAGACGAUUAUUCUGAUUAUGCAUCUGUAGCUGAUGUAGAUGUAAGAAGUUUUACUUUCAUAAUUCCAUUAUCAGAACAAAAGGGUCUCACAUCUCUUGGUAGUUUUCCAUGUGACAUUGUGCUGGAACUGUGCUAAGGUUGCAUAAUUACCCUCCUAAUUUUUACAGCACGAGAUUGUGUUCUCGGUUGAUAACCAAGUAGUAAUAAAUAGUGUAAGUAGCAAAACCUUAGAGUAGCUUAUCCACGUAUCUUUGGUACAGAUAAUCCACCAUUAUGCUGUAAGCUCUCUCAGUAGGAUGGAAGCUGUCCCAGAAGACAAACUUCCGGUCAUCGGCGCACGUCGUCGCCGUCAGCUGGUUGCAGAGAAGCGUCACCUCGAACUCUCCGGUGCCGCAGCAUCCUCUCGUCGACACAUCAAAUCCUGCACAGGCAGCAGCAACAACGAGCAUCUUCUCAGGCGAUCGAUCGAUCGAGAGCUAACGAAUCGAUGAAUUCGACAAUGUGUUCUUGAAGCAAAACAACGAAUCGAUCGAAUCUGGGUCACCGUAUUUGCCGGGGUCGGCGAUCAUGUCGUCCAGGACGCCGUAGAUGUCGACGUAGCCGAUGCUCUGCAGCUGCAGCGUCUCGCGAAGGCAGCCGAUCUCCUGCUCCAGCUUGGCGUUGAACAGCCGCGCCGCGCGGUUUUGGGCCGCGUCGCACUCCCUUCCGCCGCCCGCGGCGUCGACGGCGACGCUCCGCCGCUGCGACGGCACGCACCCGAUCGGCGGCAUCCCCAGGACGGCGAUCCUCCUCGCCCCUUGCCGGUGAAGUUGCUGUGUACCACUACCAACAUCAGCAAGAACGAACAAACUGAACAUGAACAGGUUCUGAAUUGGAGAUGAGGCUUCAGAUUGGGUGAGAAUUUUUGGUUGCAAGAUCCAUCACCUUGACGAAAUCAGAGGCUAGAUUGGCGAGGAAAUCGACGUAGGAUGAGAUGUCGAACUGGAGUGGCCUGACGGGGGCGAGGUAGUAGUUGUUGGCGAUGUCGUCGGAGCCGGCGCAGACGAGGAACAGGCUCUCCGACACGAUCCUCGCGGCGGCGGCCUCGCCGGCGAUCCCAGCGAGCUUCUCCUUGUACUCGGCGAACAUGUUCAGCUGCUCCUGCAUCGGCAGAACCGCCUGAAACGAAACCAUCGAGCAUUAAACUACACAGCAUCUUGCAUUCCAAUGGCGAUCGCCCCAUUCCCGCUGUUUGGAGUCGUAGUAUCCGAGUCUUUUUUUUUUCCUUUGGUUUUCUGUUCCCCUCCUCUCUUGGCAUGAGUCGGUCUGACUUAAUGUGUUGUGUAACAAUUAUUCUUUUCUUCUAAUAUAUUGUAUUGACAUACAAUUUUUUUGCGCGUUCGAGAAAAAAAUCCAAUGGCGAUCAAUGGAGAGAUGUGUUUGAGACGUUACAUUACCACGAGAGUGGAGGUGAGCGGGUCGUAGCCGCUGCCGGCGGAGGCGAAGCUGACGCCGGUGAGGAGGUCGCCGUCGGUGAGGUCGGUGCCGAGGUAGGCCGGAACCAGGUCUUUCAAGCCAAGCCGUGACGCUGCGCAAGAUCAAUAUGCAGCCAUGGACGACGACUCAAAUGACGAGAUGAAACUCCGGCGACCAUGGAGACGGAUAGGCUGACCUAGGAAGUCCGGCGGGAUGCGGCCGUUGGAGAAGCGGCCGGUGGGUUCGCCGCCGUUGAGGUCCUUGCCGUAGGGCCUGAAGUUGGACCGGGUGAGCGUCAGCACGGCGUUGUUGUUGCCGGUGUCGACGAUGGAGUCGCCGAACACCAGGACGGCCGGCACCCGCGGCCUCCCGCCGCCGCCCGUACCAUUCGCCGUCGUCGUCGCGGCGACCUGCCAUGGCGAGACACAGAACACCACCAGCAGCAGCAGCUUGACACUCCCAUGCUCCAUGGUCACCACCGGCAGCUAGCCAGUGAGGCAGUGACCACUAUCAUCUGUAGCGUUCUUGGAAUUUUUUGUGAUUUUAUCGCCACUAAUUAGGAUGGAGCUAGAUUCUUGGCAUUUUUCGAGAGUUUUAUCGCCAACGAUUCAUCAUUGGAGUAAGUAAGAUGCCUUUUUCGUCUGUGCAUGCAUGAUAGGCUAGUAGAUCGGAUACGACAAGUGAUCGUCGGCAAAGAAUCAUGGAGAUUUUCUGGCAAUCUGGUCGCAUCCGAUGAACACCAGCCACUAACCUGGUCUGAUCAUCUAUCAGUGUUGAGAGCUGCAUCCAACAGCUAUAAUCUACGUGCAGAUGGAAGCAUGGCGAGCAGGUUAGUCUACAGAACUUCAUAGUUAAGGUCCAGUUUGAUUUAGAUUACUUAGUGAAUUAUUACCGUAGAUUACCUACUCAAUUACAGUGAUAAAUUAUUAUUUUUUUAAAAAAAAUAAAAUUUACAAAUAGUUUACUGAUAGAAGAAAAGUCUUUUAAGAAAAUACAUUUUUCUAAGCAUAGAGCAGAUAAUAUGUUUCAAAUAUUCUGGUGAAUAAGAUGCAGUGAUGGACCAACAGUGAAACAAGCUAUGAAAGAUGGAUUGAGAUACUCUAACUUACUUCCCUCUAAUUUGUGGGCCUGCUAGCUAAAUGGAAGUAAGUUAGA